rnacentral:rRNA from 1 species
GACGAACGCUGGCGGCGUGCUUAACACAUGCAAGUCGAACGGAAAGGCCCUGCUUUUGUGGGGUGCUCGAGUGGCGAACGGGUGAGUAACACGUGAGUAACCUGCCCUUGACUUUGGGAUAACUUCAGGAAACUGGGGCUAAUACCGGAUAGGAGCUCCUGCUGCAUGGUGGGGGUUGGAAAGUUUCGGCGGUUGGGGAUGGACUCGCGGCUUAUCAGCUUGUUGGUGGGGUAGUGGCUUACCAAGGCUUUGACGGGUAGCCGGCCUGAGAGGGUGACCGGCCACAAUGGGACUGAGAUACGGCCCAGAAUCCUACGGGAGGCAGCAGGGGGGAAUAUUGCACAAUGGGCGGAAGCCUGAUGCAGCAACGCCGCGUGCGGGAUGACGGCCUUCGGGUUGUAAACCGCUUUCGCCUGUGACGAAGCGUGAGUGACGGUAAUGGGUAAAGAAGCACCGGCUAACUACGUG